rnacentral:rRNA from 1 species
UUAAAACUCAAAUGAAUUGACGGGGGCCCGCACAAGCGGUGGAGCAUGUGGUUUAAUUCGAUGCAACGCGAAGAACCUUACCUGGUCUUGACAUCCACAGAACUUUCCAGAGAUGGAUUGGUGCCUUCGGGAACUGUGAGACAGGUGCUGCAUGGCUGUCGUCAGCUCGUGUUGUGAAAUGUUGGGUUAAGUCCCGCAACGAGCGCAACCCUUAUCCUUUGUUGCCAGCGGUUAGGCCGGGAACUCAAAGGAGACUGCCAGUGAUAAACUGGAGGAAGGUGGGGAUGACGUCAAGUCAUCAUGGCCCUUACGACCAGGGCUACACACGUGCUACAAUGGCGCAUACAAAGAGAAGCGACCUCGCGAGAGCAAGCGGACCUCAUAAAGUGCGUCGUAGUCCGGAUUGGAGUCUGCAACUCGACUCCAUGAAGUCGGAAUCGCUAGUAAUCGUGAAUCAGAAUGUCACGGUGAAUACGUUCCCGGGCCUUGUACACACCGCCCGUCACACCAUGGGAGUGGGUUGCAAAAGAAGUAG